GCCGCAAUAAUCCCUCUGUGAUGUGGGGGUUUACUGUAUGGAAUCUUCCAGACUUUGCUUUUUCUUGUCUAAACUUGCCCAACUCUCUAGAGAGUUGGACAAUAUGUUUUCAACUCAGCAACAGCAUUUUUUGCACUAAUCCCAUAUUUCACUUUGCGAAUCCCACCUCCUACUUUUUGUUUUCGACUUAACCAAAUCAGUAAAUCACUUAACCAGUUCUGCGUUCUCUAACGGCGGGAAAAGACGUCAAUACAAGUCGUACAAUCAUUCGCGACAUUUACCAACGGAAGUAGAGCGUCUAACUGAGGUCUUUAGAACACUUUACACUGACCCAACCAAUAGGCCAAGUUACCGCUAGAUUCCGAACCUCACAAACAGCGACAAUUUACCUUCAUUACCGUUGGCCACAAAACUCUUUUCUUGUCACCCAAAAUCGGUGCUAUAUAUUUAUGGCCGUUUGCAGCGAAUCCACGGUUUACGCGGUCUAACCGUUUCGGUUUAGACCUUUUUGUUUUUCCGUAGCCGUCAUGAAAAAGUGACAUUGAAAUAACAAAUAUUUAAAUAUAAUUCUUGCGACUGAUGCCUUACUACACUGACACAAACAAAUGAUUUUAAUGUACUUGCAAUAAAUGUUCAUAAUGCACCUAACCGAUAGUUAUUUAAUAGGAGCGUGCUGUUUAGCCUCUUGCCCGGAGAAUGGACGAAUAAAAAAUCUACAACGGAAUAUUAUCGUAAAAAAAAAAAAGAUGAUGGUGAGAAUGAUAAGCAAAACGGUUGUUUGUUAUCUUGAAGAUUUCGUUGUGACCUGUA